rnacentral:rRNA from 1 species
AUUGAACGCUAGCGGCAGGCCUAACACAUGCAAGUCGAGCGGAUGAAGGGAGCUUGCUCCUGGAUUCAGCGGCGGACGGGUGAGUAAUGCCUAGGAAUCUGCCCGGUAGUGGGGGAUAACGUCCCGAAAGGGGCGCUAAUACCGCAUACGUCCUACGGGAGAAAGCAGGGGACCUUCGGGCCUUGCGCUAUCGGAUGAGCCUAGGUCGGAUUAGCUAGUUGGUGGGGUAAGGGCCUACCAAGGCGACGAUCCGUAACUGUCUGAGAGGAUGAUCAGUCACACCGGGACUGAGACACGGCCCGGACUCCUACGGGAGGCAGCAGUGGGGAAUAUUGGACAAUGGGCGAAAGCCUGAUCCAGCCAUGCCGCGUGUGUGGAGAAGGUCUUCGGAUUGUAAAGCACUUUAAGUUGGGAGGAAGGGGUUGAAGCUAAUACCUUC